GUUACUCUUCUGGGGGCAGUGACGGGAACACCAAUCAAACUGGCUGCAGCAGAAAGGGAAUUUAUUGGCCUGUGCAACUCACGUGUGCAGGGUAGCUCUGAGCACAGCAGGAUGCAGCCUCCCUUUAGCCCUGAGAUGCCUCUUCUGUCUGUGUUGGCCUGACCCCCAGGCAAGCCUUCUCCACAUGCUGCCCCCCAGGCCCAGGCUCACCCAUCCUUGCAAAUGGCAGUCCCAGCGGAGGAACUGUCAGCAAGGGGGCCCAGCCAGAGCCUCCCAUGGAGCCCCACUGGCCUGGUUGGGUCAGCCACUCUCGAACCACACGGGCUGAAAUUAGGGGACAGCUGACGUCUCCAGAAGAAGGGGGACAGGUGCCGAACAGGAAGAAACUGAAGAUGGCCGCCACCCUCCAAAGGGGGGCUCCAAUGAGAAAUAUCCCUACAAGCAGCUCUCACAGGCGUGAGCCCCCAAUGGCCAGGGAUGGUCAGGCUGUGGCCAGAGAGCACUUUGUAAGGUGCUACCCCGUGAAAGGAAGUUUUCUUCCAAACGGUUCUCAAGCCUCCAACCUCGGCUCCCAGAAUGUCCUCCCUCUGCCUUUUCCUAACCCAGGAGAUCCAGCUUCACUAUCGCUUUCCCCGAGAAGCCUCCUCCCUCAGCUGCCCUGUGGCUUUCUUUGCCUUCUGUGUGCCUGUAACCGUAGCUCCCGGAGGCAGGGUGGGCUCAAGUCCUGCCCUGCCCCUUCCUAGCUGGGUGACCUUGAACAAGGGACUUCCUUCUCUGAGCUCUGUUUCUCUCAUCCGUCCGGUACCUGGCCCUUUGCCGACGCGCUCUCUGCACUUCCUCAACCAUCAGAGACUUUUUCCUCGGGGCACAUGAUGCCCUAAAUAAAAGGCACGUUUCUCAUGGUCCCUGGCAGCUGGGUGUCCUGGGACUAAGGGGCUCCCCAUGGGGUGGGAGCCACAGUGUCAGAGGCUGUCUGAAGGGAUGGCUGGCAUGCAUCUGUCGUCUCUUGCCGGCGCAUACCCUCAGUCCUGCUGCCUGAGAUGCACACACUGCCACCUUUGACCCGGAGGAAGGCCCCGGGAGUGGCAGAGCGGUGACCCGAAGCCACUCUAUAGAACAGAGCCACCGUACCUGCCCUGCAAGUCAGGCCUCCAGCCUUUGGCAUGAGAAGUAGCUUCUGGUUUGUUUGAGCCAUGAUGAUUUGGGGCGCUCUCUUACAGCAGAACGUCACCCGAACUCAGAGUCCCUGCCUCCCAGGGGUUGUUGUGGAGGUUAAAUGAGAGGAUGUGGUUAAGAGGCCCGGCACGGGGCCCGAUGCACAGUAGGCGCUACCUGGAGCGGGUGGCUGUUCUGUCCUCCCAGUUAUUCUAACCGUCCACUUCGUUGUGCCUCACGCACAUGAGCAGGUUGUUGGCUGUCUGCCUCCCGCCUUGCGGUGGGCACCUUCACACCAGGGGUUUGUCUUCUCUCUCUCCCUCAGCUCUGGCCUGGUUCCUUGGAUGCCAACAAAAGAAACCAGCUCCGGCUGAUUAUUGGCAGACCGCGAGGUUCCCACAGGCUGGUGGGGGAGGCCGAGACCCAGGCUUGGCACAGACAGGCAACCCCAGCCGCAGAGCAGCUGCACGGCAGAUCCCACCCUGAUGGGAGCAGAUGCCAACUUUUGUGGGGUCUCCCUGCGUCUCUCCCCCUGGCCCUGUUUGGGGCAUAUGCCCACCUCUCAGAAGAGGGGACACCUUGGUGAACACUUCCACCAGACCGGACCCAACAGGACUAAGUUCAUUCCCCAAAAGGAAAGUGAAAUGGCCACUGAGCAGCAAACGUCCCAAGUAUGAUCGGGGUCUGGAUGCUCCUGGAAGUGAGGAACAAAGACCCUGACCCAACACGAGUGAACUGUAUCGCCUCUCAAAAACGGACGUCUGCACGUGGCUGCUCAGGGCAGGGAAGAUUCCAGAGGCCUGGAGAACUCGGCUCGCAAACAUUAGCACCCCCUGCUCCUGCGGCAGGCAGGUAAGGAGUCCAUCGAGAGCCCCGCCGUGGAGCACACUUCCUGCUCCAGCUCGGCCGCUCAGCAGCUGCGUGGCCUUGUACUUAACCUUCAGAGACUCUAUCUUCUCCAUGGAGUGGGGACAAGAUGCUCGGCACACCUUAGCCCGACAUUCUUCUAUUCUAGGGACCAUCUAGGCUAGGGGCUCUGUGUGGGCCCUGCCAGACCUCCCACUGUGGUCCCCUCUCUCGGCUCCCUUUCAUGAGCAGCCACUGUUCCCUGUGGUUCCUGUGUCUCUUCUCCAUGUGCCUCCUUCUCUGCACUGUCCCUCCCUGUCGGCCCACUCCCCUCAGCUUCUGACACGCUCACAUUUCUGUCUUUCUGGACCACUGGCCUCCUGGCCUCCAGGACCCACACACCUUUGGCUUUUCCUUCUUCCUCCGGUUACCCUUUGUGGUCCCUCUGCAGGCUCCUCCUCACCUGCUCAACCUCUAGCUCAGCACUGGGCCCUUUGUCCACACCACACCCCAGGGUCAACCUGGCUCAGGGUUUUCAGCACUAGCUCUGUGCUGAUGACCCCCUCAAAGAAAAACCCCAUGUGUCUCUCCACAUUCCAUACUUACUUUUGUUUUAACAAACGUGUGGGUUUUCCACACCCAGGAGUUCCAGCACUAACUGCCUGGAGUUAGUGCAAACCCCACAGGUUAAGUGCUGUCCCACAAGACCCUGCAACACCCCCCCACACACACCACUUCAGACACCAUUUGAAAGUCCAGGUUUUCACCUGGGCCUCUUAUAAAUCAGAGGUUCCUAUGACCCCUCCUCGGGUUCGAUAACUUGCUAGGAUGGCUCACAGAACUCAGGAAAACAGUUUACUUACAAUUAAGGAUUUAUUCUAGGACCCAACACACAAACAGACAGAUGGAAGUGAUGCACAGGGCAAGGUAUUGGGGGGUGGUGUGCAGAGCUUCCAGGCCCUCUCCAAGCUUAUCAUCUUCCCAGCACCUCCACCUGUUCGCCUGUCAGGAAACUCAACUCUUCCGCUUAGAGUUCUGACUGGAGACUCCACUGUGCACGCACAGUUGAUUCAAUCCCUGGCCACCAGUGACUCAGGCAGCCUCCAGCCCCUCUCCCCUCCCCCAGAGGCUGGGCGGGGGUGGAAGGAAGGCAAGGUAGAGUGGGACUGAAAGUUCCAGACCCUGGCAGCCAGCCCCCCAUUCUUUCCAAAAGUCACCUCAUUCACAUACACUCAGGUGUGUUGGAAAGGGGCUUGUUAUGAAUAACAACGGAUGCUCCUUUCAUCUUUAUCACUCUGGAGGCUUUUCAGGAGCUGAGGACAAAAAACAACUACAAAUUGCUCCUAGUACUCUUAUCACUUAGGAAAUUACAAGGGUUUUAGGCGCUCUGGUCAGGAGCCAUGGACGAAGACCAAGAUAUUUCUUCUAUCACAACAUCACACCCCAAAUCCCUCUGCCAAGUUCCAGACUCAAAUCCUACUGCCCACAUGACCCCUCCACUUCGACAGUUCAAAUGUGAUCACAAACAGCUGGGUUGACCCUUCCCAGAUUUUCCGUCCCAGCGAACACUUGGGCCCUGCACACUCGGGCGCCUCCCCCUCCACGUCCAAUCCACACGUGGUCCCGGUCAGUCACGUAUCCGGUAUCUGUUCUACCUCCCAAAUCUGUGCCCAUUUUUCCAUUCCUCCUCCCAGCACACUAGUUCCAGCCAUUAUCUGGCCUGCACUCCCACUUCUGCCUUCCCCGAGAUCUACUCCAGAGCCAGCCACCAGAGUUACCUCAGGAAAAGCAAACUGUAUCAAUGGAAGAAAGAGUAAGCAAACUAUGGCACUGCCACACAACGGAAUAUUCAGCCAUAACAGGAAUGAAGUACUGAUCCAUGCCACAACAUGAAGGAACCUCAAAAACAUGCUGAGUGAAAGAAGCCAGUCACAAAAGGCCACGUACUGUAUGACUCUGUAUAUAGAAAGGUCCAGAACAGACAAAUCCAAAGAGACAGAAAGGUAUGCCAGCCUUGUGUGGCUGUCACCAGCUCUAGAUGAAUCACAUCUUCUGGCGCAGCAGCCUCUGGACCCAGAUGGCAGAUGUAACUCUGGAAAAUCCAAACAGGGCCCCGGCUGAAAUCUCACGGACUUCUCUCCCUUCCUUUCUGCUUCCUCGCAUUCUCCUAGAGCCAGGACCUCGCAUCGCCCUAGAAAGGGAAGCGGUCAACUGUCACAGCUGAAAACACCGGCUCGGAGGAACCAAAACCAGCAGAGGCAGCCCCGUCUCUUCCACUGGGUCAAGCCAGAAUGAGCCCAUGCCCUAGCCCAGUGCCAGCUCUCCUGGGCCACAAGCAGACCAGAGCCAGGGGCCAUGCCAUGACCUUCCUCAGAAUGCUCCAUGAACAUCAAAAGGCGGGCACCCAGAAAGCUCCUGGGACGGUGACGGACUUGUCCUUGAGCAAGCUGGGCUUACUGCUUGAUAAGAAAGGUGCAGUGGGGGGCAGGGACUCCCUUGUGCAAGGGGACUGCGUUGGCAUUUCUCAAACCAGAGAACAAGUCCUUCCUCUAAAGCGGGAGUUCCUACUCCUUUUUUAUAACAUGGGUCUUCUUCUCCGGGGGAAUGUUUUUAAAUGUAUAAUAUAGAAUGCCUUGCAUUACAAAAGACCCAUUAUCUUGAAAUGCAGUUACUGAAUUAUUUUUUAAAUUGUCAUAAAUAUAUGAGAGCUAACGGCUGGUUUAGUAACUACAGUAAUUUCAAAGCAGAGGUGAGUAUAAGCUAUAUUUUAAAGUAUCUGCAAUAACUGUCUUGUGAUCUGAAGACAUCUGUGAUCUCGAUUGAUGACAAAGCCGUGGGUCCUGCUAAUACAAGUAUGGGCUGUUACCUGCAUUCAUCAUGGAAGGAAAUGCUCAAUUUCAGUUAAUGAAAAUAAAGUAAUUUUUCCCAUCCUAAAUGACCAGCCUUAGACUCUCUGGACCAUAGAGAAACAUGCCUGAGCCUUGCCUCCCCAACUCACAGGGGAGCUCUCUGAGAACGGCGCUGCUCCUUCAUCUUCUAUUAAGUGUCUGGAAAGGGCCUGCCUACCACACAGCAGGCAUCCAACAUGACCCUUUGAGUCUCUUGGAUCUUCUAGGCAGAUAAUCACAUAGACUGCAGAUGAGAGAUUUUCUCUUUUUAGUCUUUGUCCUUCUCACUUCCUUUCUUGUCUCACCACAUUAGCUGGGGUCUUCUGUACAAUGUUGAACAGAAGCAGUGAUGGUGGGCACCCUUAUCUUAUUACCCUCCAUAUUCACUUACUAAUUUAUUCAGUAGAGAUGUAAAGCACCUACUAUGUGCCAGAUAUGACAAAAUUGAGAUCUUUUCCUGUCCAACUGAGAAGACCGAGCAGUAGAGGCAUUCUGUGGACAGAAAUAUUGAGAACAUCACUAAAUUCUCCCUACUUGCUAACCUGCUCUCUUAGGAUCCUGAUUCCUCAAAAGUAUGGAACUAGGUCCCUGCUGGUGGUCCCAGUCUCCAGGGCACCAGUAAGGUUGGCAGGCGCGGGCUGCCCCAGGACCGCGGCAGGGCAGGGCAAGGAGGCAGCACACGGAAAGGAUGAUGAGAGAUGCCUCCAGCAGGGGUCCGCCAAAAGAUCAGGCCAGGGGCACGGCUUGAGCCUUGCCCUCUUAGGGCCUGUUGAGGCCACCACCUGUCUGCCCUAAGCUGGUAACUACAGGCAGGAGCAAUUGUUAAAGCCAACGGAAAGAGCGUUGCAGCUUUAGGGUGGGCAAUUAGGGGAGGAGAUAC